UUCCUGGUGGCUCAGACGGUAAAGCGCCUGCCUGCAGUGCAGGAGACCCAGGUUCGAUCCCUGGGUUGGGAAG